rnacentral:lncRNA from 1 species
AUGUACCCUAAAACUUAAAGUAUAAUAAAAAAAAAAAUCAAAAGCAGCUAUAGCCAAGUUAAACUUCAAAAAUUAACUUCAAACAACUGAAAAUUAUAAAAGGCAUAUGUUUUUGUUUUCUUUAUUGUAUCCCCAGGUAAAUUAUGGUAUUAAAAAUACCUCAGUCAAGGGCUUUACUCAUGCCAUAAAGCCUCAUGUUACUUCUCAAAGAAACGAGAAAGAAAAUAAUUAUAUAUGGGUAGAUUAUAUGGUGAUAAUAUUGUAUAAGAAUACUUUAAAUGGAGUUGCCAAGAUGGUUGCUUUAUAUUAAAAAAAGUCUAUAAAACAUAUAAUUCAUAAGUGGACUCUUCUGCAUUAGUAGAGUGAAUGUUUCAUUUUCAGAAUUACAGACAUAUAAAAAUCAUACUUCCCUGCUAUGAAAGACCAGUAAACAUCCUUGUUUUCUGUAAAAACUUAAAUGCUGGAGGCCAAUACUCACAAAACAUAAUAAUAUUUCUGCUAAAAAAGCCAACUUUUUUUUAAUGAGGAAAAGAAAUCAAACAUAUACAUCCUAAGUGCAAUAUUUCCAAACUUUUAAAAAAGGACAGUAUGUGAAAUUGCCAAUUCUAUAUUUUUAAUUUGCUCAUGUUUGCUGAAAUCAAUUCUAUUUACAGGAAUGAAUGGAAUCGUUAAAUACAUACUGAUGUGACUGGCUCAUCUCAUUUUACCUUGCUUUGAAGGAAGCCAGCUCUUAUUGGAAAAAGACAACAAGCAUCUUCACCAGGAGUAGAAGCCACUUUCUUUGCUCGUCCAUAAGAAGCAACUCCUCAUCAAUUCAAGUUUGAUCAUGAGAUUGCAACAAGUCACUCGCAUCUUCAGGGUACACUUCCAAUUCCAGUUCUCUUGCUAUUUCCACCACAUCAGCAGUGACUACCUCCACUGAAGUCUUGAACCACUCAAAGUCAUCUAUAAGAGUUGGAAUCAACUUCUUUCAAACCCCCAUUAAAGUGGAUAUUUUGACCUCUUCCCAUGACUCAUGAAUGCUCUUAAUGGCAUCUGAAUGGUGAAUCCUUUCCAUACGUUUUUUAAUUUACUUUGCCCCAGUCCCUCAGAGGAAUCACUUUCUAUUGCAGUUAUAGCCUUAUGAAAUGUUUUUCGUAGAUAAGGCUUGAAAGAUGAAAUUGCUUCUUGAUCCAUGGGUUGCAGAAUGGAUGUGGUACUAGCAGGCAUGAAAACAGCAUUAAUCUUGUGCAUCUCUAGCAGAGCUCUUGGCUGACCAGAUGCAUUAUCAAUGAGCAGUAAUAUUUUGAAAGGCAUCUUCCUGAGCAGUAGGUCUCAACAGUGGGCUUAAAAUAUUCAGUAAACCCAUGCUAUAGACAGAUGUGCUGUCAUCCAGGCUUUGUUGUUUUAUUUACAGAGCCCAGGCAGACUAGAUUUAGUGUAAUUCUUAAGGGCCUUGGGAUUUUCAGAAUGGUAAAUGAGCAUUGGCUUCAAUUUCAAGUCACCAGUUGCAUUAGCCCCUAACAAGAGAGUCAGCCUGCCUUUUGAAGCUUUGAAGCCAGACAUUGGCUUCAUCUCUCUAGCUUUCAAAGUGCUAGGUGGCAUCUUCUUCCAAGAGAAAGCUGUUUCAUCUACAUUGAAAAUUUGUUUAGUGUAGGCUCCUUCAUCAAGGAUCUUAGCUAGAUCUGGAUAACUUACUACAGCUCCUCCAUCAGCACUUGCUAGCUCACCUUGCACUUUUAUGUUAUGAAGACACCUUCUCAUCUUAAACCUCAUGAACCAGUCUCUGUUAACUUCAGACUUUUCUUCUGUAGCUCCCUCACCUCUCUUGGCCUUCAUAGAAUUGAAAAGAGUGACAGCCUUGCUCUGGAUCAGGUUCUGGUUCAAGGGAAUGUGAUGGCUGGUUUGAUCUUCUAUCCAGACCACUCAAACAUUCUCCCUAUCAGCAAUAAGGCUGUUUCAAUUUAUUUUCAUUCAUGUGUUCACUGGAGUAGCACUUUUAAUUUCCUUCAAGAGCUGUUUCUUCACAUUCACAACUUGGCUGAGUAGUGCAGGAGGCCGAGCUUUCAGCCUAUCUCAGCUUUAAGCAUGCCUUCCUCACUAAGCCUAAUCAUUUCUAGCUUUUGAUAAAGAGACAUGUGACCCUUCCUUUCACUUGAACACUUAGAGGCUAAUGUAGGGUUGUUCAUCAGCCUAAUUUCAAUAUUUUUGUGUCUUAGGGAACAGGGACGCCUGAGAAGAGGGACAGAGUCGGGGAAGGGUCAAUCAGAAUGGCUGGCAGUGGGGUAGUCAGAACAGAAUUUAUCAAUGAAGUUCACCAUCUUAUAUGGGCACAAUUCGUGAUGCUCCAAAGCAAUGAUAAUAAUGACAUCAAAGAUCACGGAUCACCAAAACAGAUACAAUAAUCAUGAAAAAGUUUGAAAUAUUGUGAGAGUUACCAAAAUGUGACACACAGACACCAGUGAGCAUAUGCUGUUAGAAAAAUGGCACCAACCGAGUUGCUGGGCACAGGGUUGCCACAAAUCUUCAAUUUGUGAAAAAAUGCAGUAUCUGCAAAGUGCAAUGAAGUGAAAUGCAAUAGAACGAGGAUGGCCUGUGGCUGAAAUGGCUGUCAGUGCGGCCCCAUGGAUGUCCUCAUUAGCAGUCUGUACCAGUGUCUUUUCCAAAGGAAACCAUACUUACCCUGUGAUGUCAGAGGGAAAAAUGAACACACAGGGACAUGGCAAUAACCAUAACAAUAAAGGUAAUAUUGCUGUACCUGUCACCUGAGUGUGACAGCGUGCAUCAAAAACAUUAACUUUUUCAUUUUCAAAUCACUCUUGUGGGGUAAAGAAAGGUAGAAUGCUUCUCAUAAGCCCUCUUCCACUGCAGCAUGAGAAGAGACAUUUUGCUUCUUAGCAAAGAAGUAGCUAAGGCAUAUCCAACUCAGUGUCUCAGAAACCACAAAGACCUCAACUAGUCACCAGAAGAUCCAGCUCAAAGCUCCACCUCUGAAGGGAGAGAGCCUCCUUCCCCAGGGCACAGCCCUACAGCAUCCCGCAAUGCCGCAGCACCACGUCGUCAGUGCCAGGCAGGUGCUGAGGAGGAAGGUGGUAGGAGGAAGCCCAGCUUGCCUGUGUGAGCCAGGGCAGGGAUGGCUCCUGGAGGGUUCCCUCAUCUCUGUAUUUAUUUACUCCUCUUUAUUGUGCCUUCUCCCCACAGGGGUUUCUGAGAAAGGGAUUCAAGUCCCAGGGGUAGAUGGCCUGCAG